rnacentral:rRNA from 1 species
UCGUCACACUAUCAUUAACUGAAUCCAUAGGUUAAUGAGGCGAACCGGGGGAACUGAAACAUCUAAGUACCCCGAGGAAAAGAAAUCAACCGAGAUUCCCCCAGUAGCGGCGAGCGAACGGGGAGGAGCCCAGAGCCUGAAUCAGCAUGUGUGUUAGUGGAAGCGUCUGGAAAGGCGCGCGAUACAGGGUGACAGCCCCGUACACAAAAGCGCAUGUGCUGUGAGCUCGAUGAGUAGGGCGGGACACGUGGUAUCCUGUCUGAAUAUGGGGGGACCAUCCUCCAAGGCUAAAUACUCCUGA